rnacentral:rRNA from 1 species
AUGGGGAUCCAGGCUCUGAUGGAUGUUCGGUGCAAGAACCUAGUAAAUCCUGUAUGCGAUUGGCACGAUGAGAUAUAUGAGCCUGCGUCUAGGGAAUUCGUGAUUCCGGGACAUGGAAGACUGCCUUUGGAUGAGGAAUCUGUGUUAUGCACUUUGGCUGUGCCCCGUGGAGAAAUCAGAGUGUCGUAUGAGGUGGAUAAUGAGAUUGAGGAAGCUUUGUUCGCCCAUUUGUUUCCUGGGAUGGCAUCCAUGCCUAAUACGAUUGCGCUGACAACUUCUCUAGAGGGCGUGAGAACGCAUGGCGAGGAUUUAAGAUGA